GUCAAUUAAUAAAGAAACUAAACAAUUUUCAUUUACUUCGUGCCAAAAACAAAACAACUCAGGAACCUUCCCCUCCCUCCACGCCUCUCGAUUUUCUCUCUCCUCUUUGCCCCGCUGCACUGCCACGCCGCCGACGCUGCUCCUGCCACCUUCUCUCUUGUCGGCGUUGCUUCUAUUGUGGUCGUAGUAGUUCGUGAUGUUCGUUGUGGGUUGUUGUUGUGAUUGGUUGUGCGGAUCUUCUCCCUCCUCUCCCCUUCCUUUCGUCUCUGUGUGAUUCUGCCGCCGCCGAUGGUGGCCUUCAAUUGCCGUCCUCGGUGUUCGGCCAUUCAAUUUGGUAAUGUCUCUAAUCUUGUUUGAAUUUGAUUUAAUUCACAAACCCUAACUUCCUCUUUCCUUGAUUGUGUCUCUCUUCCGAUCUCCCCUGCCUUGUCUCUCCUCCGUGCUCGUCGAAGCUCCACGACAGCUGCUGGAGCUGCGGUUGUUUUCGUUGAUGUUGAUGGAGUUGUUAAUCUCGUGAGUGAGUGGAGAACGAUUAAGGUGAAUCAAAGUACGGGGUUAUGCGGAGAGCCGUGACUAAGUGUGUAGCCUUGAAGUUUAUAUAUGUGGUGAUUCGAGAGUUAAAAUCUUUUGCAGGUAGCGAGAAUCGAGUUUCAGUUUAGGAUCAAGGUGCGUAGAGUCCUCCGGAUGUCUUAUAUGUUUCAAGGCGGGUUUAUGGAUUCUCUAAGUUUAUUUAAGUCUUUUCCAAUUUGUUAAUGGAUUGUAUUAUUCCUUUCUAGAGCUUUUUGGUUUAUUAUUUAUGGAUUAUAUAUCCUUGUUGA